GAUGAACGCUAGCUACAGGCUUAACACAUGCAAGUCGAGGGACCGGCGCACGGGUGAGUAACACGUAUCCAACCUGCCCUUUACUCGGGGAUAGACUUUCGAAAGAAAGAUUAAUACACGAUAUAAAGGAUGGGGAUGCGUUCCAUUAGGUUGUUGGUGAUGUAACGGCUCACCCAGACUUCGAUGGAUAGGGGUUCUGAGAGGAAGGUCCCCCUCAGUGGAACUGAGACCCUGUCCAAACUCUGACUGUACGCAGCAGUGACGAAUAUGGGUCAAUUGGCGGUAGCCUGAACCUGCCAAGUAGCGUGAAGGAUGAAGGCUUAUGGGUCGUAAACUUCUUUUAUAUAAGAAUAUGUAUUAUAUUAAUAAGGAUCGGCUAACUCCGUGCCAGCAGCCGCGGUAAUAC
rnacentral:rRNA from 1 species